rnacentral:lncRNA from 1 species
CAAGACUCUUUCUCCCCCUCUUCCUCCCUCCCUCCUUCCUGCCAUCUUAGUCUCAGGGCUAUUGCCUCAGCCCCUCCUCCUCCCUGGAAAGGCCCUUAGGCCACCAUGUCCCCCAGACAGCCAGGUGUCACCCUCUGCUUGGUGUCCAGCAAAGCCCAGUCCCACCCAUUCCCUUCGUAGCGGGUUUGACUGCAUUGCCUAUCCUCUGUGGAGUCCCAGGUCUGGGGACCUGGAGCCCAGAGCUGCCCUGGAAAGUGCCAGAGAUCCGCUGUUCCACAUGGGAGACCUGGAGACAGCGCUGGCAUCAGACGCCUCUCGUGGCCAGAGGGACGUCCCCAGUGGCCUUCCCGGGAAUGUUUCCAACUGAUGUGAGUGGUCCCUCUUUUCCAUUUGUGGAACAAAUGGUUUUGAGCAUUCAUCAGAUGGGAUCUACGAAGACUCAUCCAUAACUGUAAGAUGAUUUUCAAAAUCAAGGUGCCCUUUGCCGCUAAUCCAAUUUUGGCAAUAAAAGUGACGGAAUGUGUAGCA